ensembl:lncRNA LINC00320 long intergenic non-protein coding RNA 320
UGUGUGAUUUUUGUUCUUUAGUAGAAGGAUAACAUGACAUAGCAGGAAUAAUACUGCCUUUUCUUUCUGGCAUGGAUCAAGAGAAAAGAAAAUACAAGAAAACAGACAGAAGCAAGGCAAGGUACUUCUAUGGAAGGGUGAGCCCUCACAGAUGGAGCAAUGGGGCGCGCACACCUGAACAAGGGAGGGGAAGGAGUUCUUAUCCCUGAUGCAUGUGACCCCUGCUGCUGUGUCCUUCCCCUAUUGGCUAAGGCUUCUGACAGCUUUGGAGAUUGUGACAUUGGAAUAAAGGAAAAACGUACAGGACUCAUGAAGCGCUGAAAUGUUCACAAAUAUCAAGCAAAAGUCAAUGAAAUUUAUUUUGAGCUAUUUACAUCAUUUAAUAAUUGAGCAAGGUAUACUCCUAUGAACAAAAUUUGGAGCAUGUUUGUCUCUCUCUGCCUGGCGUCUUCAGAAUUUGGAAACUAGUUAGUCAUGGAAAUUUAUUUUGAGCUAUUUACAGCAUUUAAUAAUUGAGCAAGGUAUACUCCUAUGAACAAAAUUUGGAGCAUGUUUGUCUCUCUCUGUCUGCCUGGCAUCUACAGAAUUUGGAAACUAGUUGAUGCAAUUGGAGAAACUGGUUGUUUUACCAAGGCUUUGACUGGAAGGAUAUGCUUCCCUUUAAGAAACCAAGCUCAACUUACAGAGCUGAUAAAACCCCUUUGGGAAAACUGGCCUCAUACCUUGUCUACACAGUCCCCAUGCAGGGUUCCUAACGUGUGUCGUUCCCAGAUUUCCUAAACUUUCCAGAGAAAAUGGUCUUCUCCCUGGCUCAGCAAGAAGAUGAACUUUAAACACUGAGAAACUGGUCAUCUCCCUGGCUCAACCAGAAGAUGAACUUUAAACACUACUCUCAAUGACUUGAUGUUCCCAUCACUACUCCUGUCAUAAAGGGAGGGGACUCAGAUAUUGAGAAUUUUAUGAUAGUGUGAACUGUCUGGUAUGUCAUUUAAGUAAGCCCGUUGCUGAAAUAUUUUCCAUGUUAUUAGAAAGAGCUGAAGAGAGGGAUUGAGAUGGCUUCUUUAUUUUUUGUCUUUUGGGAAUUAAAGGAACCUGGUUCAACAAGGGCCUACACCUAAGUCUCUUGUUGUACCAGAGUACAAUUUAGGACUGCUCCUGAGGAAGGAAUUAGCUAGAAAUCUAGAGAGUAAGGGUAACAGAUUUACAUAGAAUAACAGCCUCAGUAUUUUUGGUUCCUCUCCAGUAAAGAUCACAAAGAAUAUUGCUAAAUCGCUAAAACACCUUUGCAAUAACGUAAGGGCUUACAACUAUAUACCAAUGUAGCUCAGUUACUAAACUGGAGUAAACUAAUUUCUCUUGUGUAGAAAAAUUGGUUGGCUGUGGUUUUAUAGCAGAUCUGCAAUUAUUAAUAGUUAUGCCAAUAAUCGUUUAACAGUGCAUAUGUUAAUAUAUAUGGAAAGACAAUGUGUAUAGACAGAUGUGUAAAAUUGAAAAAUAAACAUAUAACAAGAGAGAAACAUCUAUCGAACAGACAAUAUACAUACACAUCAAACACAACAGCAGUUUUAGUGACCAUAAUAUUUAUUUCUCAUUUUUACAUUGCUUACUUUAGUGACAACUGAAAAUGACAGUUGGCAAUGCAGCUAACAGUUUCAAUAAA